rnacentral:rRNA from 1 species
GAUCCUGGCUCAGAACGAACGCUGGCGGCAUGGAUUAGGCAUGCAAGUCGAACGAGGUAGCAAUACCGAGUGGCGGAAGGGUGAGGAACGCGUGAGUAAUCUGCCCCCAAGUGGGGAACAACAGUUGGAAACGACUGCUAAUACCGCAUAACGCAGCGAGACCGCAUGGUCUUACUGCCAAAGCUUUAUGUGCUGAAAGAUGGCCUCGCGUCUGAUUAGCUAGUUGGUGGGGUAACGGCCCACCAAGGCGACGAUCAGUAGCCGGUCUGAGAGGAUGAACGGCCACAUUGGGACUGAGAUACGGCCCAGACUCCUACGGGAGACAGCAGUAAGGAAUAUUGGGCAAUGGAGGCAACUCUGACCCAGCCAUGCCGCGUGAAGGAUGGAGGCCCUACGGGUCGUAAACUUCUUUUGUCAGGGAAUAAAGUCAUCUACGUGUAGAUGUUUGCAGGUACCUGAAGAAUAAGCAUCGGCUAACUCCGUG